AUGACGCUGGCGGCGUGCUUAACACAUGCAAGUCGAACGGACCAUAUUCGUAUGGUUAGUGGCAGACGGGUGCGUAACACGUGGGCAACCUGCCCUUAACCGGGGGAUAACAUUGUGAAAACAGUGCUAAUACCGCAUAACAGAGUAUCGGGCAUCCGAUAUUUUUAAAAGGAGCAAUCCGGUUUAGGAUGGGCCCGCGUCCAAUUAGCUAGUUGGUGAGGUAACGGCUCACCAAGGCUACGAUUGGUAGCCGAACUGAGAGGUUGAUCGGCCACAUUGGGACUGAGACACGGCCCAGACUCCUACGGGAGGCAGCAGUGGGGAAUAUUGGGCAAUGGGCGAAAGCCUGACCCAGCGACGCCGCGUGAAGGAUGAAGGUCUUCGGAUUGUAAACUUCUUUGAUCAGGGAAGAAAGAAAUGACGGUACCUGAAGAACAAGCCACGGCUAACUACGUG
rnacentral:rRNA from 1 species